ACGAGUCCCAAAUAGGACGAAACGUGCGUC
rfam:Schistosoma curassoni strain Dakar, Senegal genome assembly, scaffold: SCTD_scaffold0000898